UCCAGACUCCUACGGGAGGCAGCAGUGGGGGAUAUUGCACAAUGGGGGAAACCCUGAUGCAGCGACGCCGCGUGAGUGAAGAAGUAUUUCGGUAUGUAAAGCUCUAUCAGCAGGGAAGAAAAAAGACGGUACCUGACUAAGAAGCCCCGGCUAACUACGUGCCAGCAGCCGCGGUAAUACGUAGGGGGCAAGCGUUAUCCGGAUUUACUGGGUGUAAAGGGAGCGUAGACGGCAAUACAAGUCGGAAGUGAAAUACCCGGGCUUAACCUGGGAACUGCUUUGGAAACUGUAUGGCUGGAGUGCUGGAGAGGUAAGCGGAAUUCCUAGUGUAGCGGUGAAAUGCGUAGAUAUUAGGAGGAACACCAGUGGCGAAGGCGGCUUACUGGACAGUAACUGACGUUGAGGCUCGAAAGCGUGGGGAGCAAACAGGAUUAGAUACCCCCGUACG
rnacentral:rRNA from 1 species